rnacentral:rRNA from 1 species
GAUGAACGCUAGCGAUAGGCUUAACACAUGCAAGUCGAGGGGUAACGUGUUGGAAGCUUGCUUCCGAUGACGACGACCGGCGGAUGGGUGCGUAACGCGUAUGCAACUUGCCUCACAGAGGAGAAUAACCCGGAGAAAUCCGGACUAAUGCUCCAUACACUCUUUAGCACGCCUGUGCGUAAGAGGAAAGAUUUAUCGCUGUGAGAUAGGCAUGCGUCCUAUUAGGUAGUUGGUGAGGUAACGGCUCACCAAGCCGACGAUAGGUAGGGGUGCUGAGAGGCAGAUCCCCCACAUUGGGACUGAGACACGGCCCAAACUCCUACGGGAGGCAGCAGUGAGGAAUAUUGGUCAAUGGAGGAAACUCUGAACCAGCCAAGUCGCGUGAAGGAAGAAUGUCCUAAGGAUUGUAAACUUCUUUAGCGAGUGAGUAAGGACUUCCGCGCGUGGGGAGUUUGAAAUUAGCUCGAUAAAAGUAUCGGCAAACUCCGUGCCAGCAGCCGGGGUAAUA